rnacentral:rRNA from 1 species
UUGACGGGGCCGCACAAGCGGAGGAGCAUGUGGUUAAUUCGAUGAUACGCGAGGAACCUUACCUGGGCUCGAACGUAAGAUGACUGUAGGUGAAAGCUUACAUCUCUUCGGAGCAUUUUACGAGGUGCUGCAUGGUUGUCGUCAGCUCGUGCCGUGAGGUGUCGGGUUAAGUCCCAUAACGAGCGCAACCCCUACCUUUAGUUGCCAUCAGGUUAAGCUGGGGACUCUAAAGGAACUGCCUACGCAAGUAGUGAGGAAGGCGGGGAUGACGUCAAAUCAGCACGGCCCUUACGUCCAGGGCUACACACGUGCUACAAUGGCCGAUACAGAGGGCAGCUACCUGGUGACAGGAUGCAAAUCUCCAAAGUCGGUCUCAGUUCGGAUCGGAGUCUGCAACCCGACUCCGUGAAGUUGGAUUCGCUAGUAAUCGCGCAUCAGCCAUGGCGCGGUGAAUACGUUCCCGGGCCUU